rnacentral:lncRNA from 1 species
GGAAGUGAGGAGCCCCUCUGCCCGGCCAGCCGCCCCGUCCGGGAGGGAGGUGGGGGGGUCAGCCCCCCGCCCAGCCAGCCGCCCUGUCCGGGAGGGAGGUGGGGGGGUCGGCCCCCCGCCCGGCCAGCCGCCCCGUCCGGGAGGGAGGUGGGGGGGUCGGCCCCCCGCCCGGCCAGCCGCCCCGUCCGGGAGGUGAGGGGCGCCUCUGCCCGGCCGCCCCUACUGGGAGUGAGGAGCCCCUCUGCCCGGCCAGCCGCCCCGUCCGGGAGGGAGGUGGGGGGGUCAGCCCCCCGCCCGGCCAGCCGCCCCGUCCGGGAGGGAGGUGGGGGGGGUCAGCCCCCCCGCCCAGCCAGCCGCCCUGUCCGGGAGGUGAGGGGCGCCUCUGCCCGGCCGCCCCUACUGGGAAGUGAGGAGCCCCUCUGCCCGGCCAGCCGCCCCGUCCGGGAGGGAGGUGGGGGGGUCGGCCCCCCGCCCGGCCAGCCGCCCCGUCCGGGAGGGAGGUGGGGGGGGGUCGGCCCCCCUGUCUGGCCAGCCGCCCCGUCCGGGAGGUGAGGGGCGCCUCUGCCCGGCCGCCCCUACUGGAAAGUGAGGAGCCCCUCUGCCCGGCCACCACCCCGUCUGGGAGGUGUGCCCAACAGCUCAUUGAGAACGGGCCAGGAUGACAAUGGCGGCUUUGUGGAAUAGAAAGGCGGGAAAGGUGGGGAAAAGAUUGAGAAAUCCGAUGGUUGCCGUGUCUGUGUAGAAAGAAGUAGACAUGGGAGACUUUUCAUUUUGUUCUGCACUAAGAAAAAUUCC